rnacentral:rRNA from 1 species
UGGGGAAUUUUGGACAAUGGGCGCAAGCCUGAUCCAGCCAUACCGCGUGAGUGAAGAAGGCCUUCGGGUUGUAAAGCUCUUUUACCAGGGACGAUAAUGACGGUACCUGGAGAAUAAGCCCCGGCAAACUUCGUGCCAGCAGCCGCGGUAAUACGAAGGGGGCUAGCGUUGUUCGGAAUUACUGGGCGUAAAGCGCACGUAGGCGGAUUGUUAAGUCAGAGGUGAAAUCCCGGAGCUCAACUUCGGAACUGCCUUUGAUACUGGCAAUCUAGAGUCCGGAAGAGGUUAGUGGAAUUCCCAGUGUAGAGGUGAAAUUCGUAGAUAUUGGGAAGAACACCAGUGGCGAAGGCGGCUAACUGGUCCGGUACUGACGCUGAGGUGCGAAAGCGUGGGGAGCAAACAGGAUUAGAUACCCACGUAGUCCCUGAGCGGGCUGGCAAGGCGCAU